GGUGAGACUCAAAUGUGGGGCACACUUCUGGAUUAUACAUGGAAAGUGCUACUACAUUUGGGUCUCUCC
rnacentral:miRNA from 1 species